ACCCUCUGGCAAUGGGCAAAGAGACACCUUGUGGCGUUGCUCUUACAUUAGUCGGGGCAGAGCAGGUGCCAGUCCUUUGUUCAUCCGAGCUUGAUGUCUGGCUUGGUGGCCAAAGCAGUUUUAUGCCUAGGACUCAUAA
ensembl:snoRNA